rnacentral:rRNA from 1 species
UACGAAGGGGGCUAGCGUUACUCGGAAUCACUGGGCGUAAAGGGCGCGUAGGCGGCGUUUUAAGUCGGGGGUGAAAGCCUGUGGCUCAACCACAGAAUGGCCUUCGAUACUGGGGCGCUUGAGUAUGGUAGAGGUUGGUGGAACUGCGAGUGUAGAGGUGAAAUUCGUAGAUAUUCGCAAGAACACCGGUGGCGAAGGCGGCCAACUGGACCAUUACUGACGCUGAGGCGCGAAAGCGUGGGGAGCAAACAGG